CCUUUCCGUAGGUGAACCUGCGGAGGGAUCAUUACACAACCAAAUAUGAAGGCCUGGCUUUCGCGGCCGGCUGAAGUAUUUUUUUCACCCAUGUCUUUUGCGCACCUGUUGUUUCCUGGGCGGGUUCGCCCGCCACCAGGACCAAACCAUAAACCUUUUUUUCUUAUGCAGUUUCCAUCAGCGUCAGUAAAAACAAUGUAAUUAUUACAACUUUCAACAACGGAUCUCUUGGUUCUGGCAUCGAUGAAGAACGCAGCGAAAUGCGAUACGUAGUGUGAAUUGCAGAAUUCAGUGAAUCAUCGAAUCUUUGAACGCACAUUGCGCCCUUUGGUAUUCCAAAGGGCAUGCCUGUUCGAGCGUCAUUUGUACCUUCAAGCUUUGCUUGGUGGGGGGCGUAAAAAAUAUGCCUGGGUGGGGGAGAAAAACAAUAAAGGGGGGGGCAAAAAAAAAAAGGGGGGGGGGGAAAAAAAAAAGGGGGGGGGGGGGAAAAAAAAGAAGAGGGGGGAAAGGAAAAAAACCAGGGGGGGGAGCAUAAAAACAAGCGGGGGGGGCACAUCAACAUGCGCAGAUU
rnacentral:rRNA from 1 species